rnacentral:tRNA from 1 species
GGCCGAGUAGGCGGCGAGUUGUAGCCUCGUGCACGGGCGCCUGCGCCCCCCAACCAG